GACAGAGGGGUGCAAACGUUGUUCGGAAUUACUGGGCGUAAAGCGAGUGUAGGCGGUCUGAAAAGUCGGGUGUGAAAGCCCUGGGCUCAACCCAGGAAGUGCACUCGAAACUGCCAGGCUAGAGUAUCGGAGAGGUUGGUGGAAUUCUCGGGUGUAGAGGUGAAAUUCGUAGAUAUCGAGAGGAACACCGGUGGCGAAGGCGGCCAACUGGACGAAUACUGACGCUGAGACUCGAAAGCGUGGGGAGCAAACAGG
rnacentral:rRNA from 1 species